AGAGCGAACGCUGGCGGCAGGCUUAACACAUGCAAGUCGAGCGGGCGUAGCAAUACGUCAGCGGCAGACGGGUGAGUAACGCGUGGGAACAUACCUUUUGGUUCGGAACAACCCAGGGAAACUUGGGCUAAUACCGGAUAAGCCCUUACGGGGAAAGAUUUAUCGCCGAAAGAUUGGCCCGCGUCUGAUUAGCUAGUUGGUGAGGUAACGGCUCACCAAGGCGACGAUCAGUAGCUGGUCUGAGAGGAUGAUCAGCCACAUUGGGGCUGAGACACGGCCCAAACUCCUACGGGAGGCAGCAGUGGGGAAUAUUGGACAAUGGGCGCAAGCCUGAUCCAGCCAUGCCGCGUGAGUGAUGAAGGCCCUAGGGUUGUAAAGCUCUUUUGUGCGGGAAGAUAAUGACGGUACCGCAAGAAUAAGCCCGGCUAACUUCGCGCCAGCAGCCGCGA
rnacentral:rRNA from 1 species